GAUGAAGAACGUAGCGAAAUGCGAUAAGUAAUGUGAAUUGCAGAACUCAGUGAAUCAUCGAAUCUUUGAACGCACAUUGCGCCCCCUGGCCUUCCGGGGGGCAUGCCUGUUCGAGCGUCAUUGCUGCCCUCAAGCACGGCUUGUGUGUUGGGCCUCCGUCCUCCUCCCGGGGGACGGGCCCGAAAGGCAGCGGCGGCACCGCGUCCGGUCCUCGAGCGUAUGGGGCUUCGUCACCCGCUCUUGUAGGCCCGGCCGGCGCUUGCCGACACAUCAAUCUUUUUUCCAGGUUGACCUCGGAUCAGGUAGGGAUACCCGCUGAACUUAAGCAUAUCAAUAAGCGGAGGA
rnacentral:misc_RNA from 1 species